rnacentral:rRNA from 1 species
UUCCCUACGGGGGGCAGCAGUGAGGAAUAUUGGUCAAUGGCCGAGAGGCUGAACCAGCCAAGUCGCGUGAGGGAAGACGGCCCUACGGGUUGUAAACCUCUUUUGUCGGGGAGCAAAGAGAGUCACGUGUGACUCAUUGAGAGUACCCGAAGAAAAAGCAUCGGCUAACUCCGUGCCAGCAGCCGCGGUAAUACGGAGGAUGCGAGCGUUAUCCGGAUUUAUUGGGUUUAAAGGGUGCGUAGGCGGUCCGUUAAGUCAGCGGUAAAAUUGCGGGGCUCAACCCUGUCGAGCCGUUGAAACUGGCA